CCGGUUAAAAAAGUGCUGCUAUUUUGGCCAAUAAACAGAAUUAUGUGUGGUUUUCCUGUGAGGUGACCACAUGUGCUUUAUUCUGUCUAUAGAUUCUAAAGCAAAAGCCACAGCGCACAAAAGAGGUACAUGACUUCAUGAAGUGUGACAUUUGAGGCAUUUCUUAGGAAACUUCAUGACGGCUGUUUUUUUCUGCUAGUGCUCAUGGUUUCAGUUAUCGGGCUGUGCGUACUGCUACUGCUGUCCGUUCUGCUCAUUUCUUUCGUUUUGAGGCACAGGAGAAAUGAAAGCAGAAGAAAGUAUGGAACAACAGGAUCAAGAUUUAAUCAGGACAUGAUGCUUCAAACCCACAGACUGGCACAGACAGGUGAUAGUGUUGUCCACUACACUUGAUACAACAGAUUGAAAGUGAGAUGAAUUUAAUUGUAAAAUAAGAGCAUUCCAAUGUGCUGUAGGUUCAGAAUCAUCUCAGAGUGAUGAUGAGAAUGGAAUUUGCCCUGAUACAGGGGACAGUGAGCUCCACUAUGCUUCUUUGGGUCACCAGAACUGGAGAGAGAAAGGAAGAGUGCAGGACAAGACACAUCAGGUCAUCUACUCCACCAUCGCCAUUGCAGUACCUGACCAAGCCUGAGAAGAGAUACCGGUCUUUGUUCAUUUCACUAGUCAUGAUGUAACGCACUGGUAUCACUGGUGUCUGCCGUUGAAGUGAUCAGCAUUAAAUAUGAGUAAAUAUGACGAUGCUGGUAUGGCUUAUUCUCUCACUCACACACACAUACAAGCUUGCUUAUCAAGCACUGGGAUUGCCGGAGGUUCGAUGUGCCACAGCUGCAUAGGUCACCUCAUCUGAACGGAAUGAUAGGUCCUUCUGAGCAGAACUCUUUUUUUGGACGUAAAACUUUCAGGCUGGCAUAGUGCACGUCCCCACCCUAUAACCAAUGACAUGUCUUAAAUACAGUACGCAUGGGUUGUGACAUUUUUAGUGAGUGCAUACUUUUUUAAUAUAAAAAAAUACCUUCUGUUCUCGAGUGCGGGUUUUGCCUGUUAAGGAUUCGGAAGAAGAAAUGAAACAGCAGUAUUAUAGUUAUGCACAGUCUAGCACUUAUUCUGCACAAGGGAAAAAAAUGGUGGACACCUUGAAGGUGGCGGAGGAAGUAAGUACAGAGCGCACACAGGACGGCAGAAGCAGCACCCAUGCCAGCCGCAAGCACCCAGCAGAGAUCAGGACACCCACUCUCUUCACCUGAAGUGUGCACAAAGAUUGUGGAGGUUAUCAGUGCGGUCCACAGCAAUUUUUUAUCAGCAAAAUGAAGUAGAGAACAUUCUUGUUUGCAUUAGACUUGAUUAAAACUGCAGGAAAGGGAUUUCCAAAAAAAAACUGGAGAAAUACAAAAAAAGAUGUAAUUAAUUCUAUUGCUAAACAG
ensembl:lncRNA